GGCUCUCUGAGCACCACCAUGGCGGUCACCAAGAAGAAGGUGGUUGAUCCAUUUUCUAAGAAAGAUUGGUAUGAUGUAAAGGCACCAGCUAUGUUCAAUAUAAGAAAUAUUGGGAAAACACUAGUCACAAGGACUCAAGGAACGAAAAUUACAUCUGAUGGGCUUAAGGGUCGUGCUUUUGAAGUGAGUCUUGCUGAUCUGCAGAACGAUGAAGUUGCAUUUAGAAAAUUCAAGCUAAUUACUGGGGAUGUUCAGGGCAAAAACUGCCUGACCAACUUCCAUGGCAUGGAUCUUACCCGUGACAAAAUGUGCUCCAUGGUCAAAAAAUGGCAGACCAUGAUUGACGCUCACGUUGAUGUCAAGACUACAGAUGGUUAUUUGCUCCGCUUGUUCCGUGUUGGUUUUACUAAAAAACACAACAACCAGAUUCGGAAGACAUCUUAUGCUCAGCACCAACAGGUCCGUCAAAUCCGGAAGAAAAUGAUGGAAAUCAUGACCCGAGAGGUGCAGACAAAUGACUUGAAAGAAGUGGUCAAUAAACUGAUUCCAGACAGCAUUGGAAAGGACAUAGAGAAGGCGUGCCAGUCUAUUUACCCUCUCCAUGACGUGUUUGUUAGGAAACAUUCAACCUCCCUGUUCCAAGGGCAAGGGAUGUUUGGUGACAUUGACCAAGUAGGAAGUUCUGCUGCUCCUAGUCUCACCGACCCUGCUGUGGUCCUGGUGGUUUGGAAACUUAAGUUCCACGAGCAGAAGCUGCUGAAGCAGGUAGACUUUCUGAACUGGGAGGUCACUGACCACAACCUGCACGAGCUGAUUGGGCUGCGCGAGGACUGCACGCCUUACAACCAACUGAGCCAUGUGGUGCGCCGACUAGCUGGGCGCCUAUGGGACCUGCAGAGAACGUCCGGUUUCACAUUUGCUCCUCUGUAGCGUUGCUGUAUAAUUUGCAUGCUCUAGGCCUGGUACUCAUGCGUGGUUCUCUUGAGCUCUGCGACUUCAUCACGACUUCGUCCUUCUGCCAUCACCACCUGCCCACUGUGCGCCUCAAGCUGCCGUGGCACAGCACCUUCAGGCCUCCGUGGCUUUCAUAGAGCAGGGCCAAGUGCACUUAGGACCCGACCAACCACGCCUUCUUUGUCACGUGCAGCAUGGAGGACUUCCUCACAUGUAUGGACUUGUCCAAGAUCAAGCGGCAUGUGCUGGAGUUCAAUGAGGAGCGAGACAACUUAACUCUGGUAGCCUAG